UACGUAGGGGGCAAGCGUUGUCCGGAAUCAUUGGGCGUAAAGCGCGUGUAGGCGGCCAGGUAAGUCCGUUCUGAAAGCCCGGGGCUCAACCCCGGGAGGCGGAUGGAUACUGCUUGGCUCGAGUCCGGAAGAGGCGAGUGGAAUUCCCGGUGUAGCGGUGAAAUGCGCAGAUAUCGGGAGGAACACCAAUGGCGAAGGCAGCUCGCUGGGACGGUACUGACGCUGAGACGCGAAAGCGUGGGGAGCAAACAGGAUUAGAUACCCUGGUAGUCCACGCUGUAAACGAUGGUCACUAGGUGUGGGGGGUGUCGACUCCCUCCGUGCCGAAGCUAACGCAUUAAGUGACCCGCCUGGGGAGUACGGCCGCAAGGCUAAA
rnacentral:rRNA from 1 species